rnacentral:SRP_RNA from 1 species
GCCAGGCAUGGUGGCGUGCGCCUGUAAUCCCAGCUACUUGGGAGGCUGAGGCAGGAGAAUUGCUUGAACCCAGGAGGCGGAGGUUGCAGUGAGCCGAGAUUGCGCCACUGUACUCCAGCCUGGGUGACAGAGUGAGACUCUGUCUCAA